ACGCUAGCGGCGUGCUUUAUGCAUGCAGUCGAACGGUCUCGAUUUAUCGAGAUAGUGGCAAACGGGUGAGUAACGCGUAAGUAACCUGCCCUUAAGUAGGGGAUAACUCCGAGAAAUUGGAGCUAAUACCGCAUGUGGUGGUGGAGGUAAGGCUCCAUCACUAAAGCCUUCGGGCGCUUAAGGAGGGGCUUGCGUCCGAUUAGCUAGUUGGUAGGGUAACGGUUUACCAAGGCGAUGAUCGGUAGCUGGUUUGAGAGGACGGCCAGCCACACUGGGACUGAGACACGGCCCAGACUCCUACGGGAGGCAGCAGCAAGGAAUUUUGUGCAAUGGGCGAAAGCCUGACACAGCAACGCCGCGUGGGGGAUGAAUGCCUUCGGGUUGUAAACCCCUUUUCUCAGGGAAGAAUAAUGACGGUACCUGAGGAAUAAGCCUCGGCUAACUACGUGCCAGCAGCCGCGGUAAUACGUAGGAGGCGAGCGUUAUCCGGAUUUACUGGGCGUAAAGGGAGCGCAGGUGGUUCUUCAAGUCGGAUGUAAAAUCUCCCGGCUUAACUGGGAGCGAUCAUUCGAUACUGUUGGACUAGAGGACAGCAGAGGGAGGUGGAAUUCCCGGUGUAGUGGUGAAAUGCGUAGAUAUCGGGAGGAACACCAGUGGCGAAGGCGGCCUCCUGGGCUGUUUCUGACACUGAGGCCCGAAAGCGUGGGGAGCGAACAGGAUUAGAUACCCUGGUAGUCCACGCUGUAAACUAUGGACACUAGGUACAGGGAGUAUCGACCCUUUCUGCGCCGAAGCUAACGCAUUAAGUGUCCCGCCUGGGACUACGCCGCAAGGCUAAAACUCAAAGAAUGAUGCCGC
rnacentral:rRNA from 1 species